rnacentral:rRNA from 1 species
CGGGUGAGUAACGCGUGGAAAACCUGCCGUAUACUGGGGGAUAACACUUAGAAAUAGGUGCUAAUACCGCAUGAUGCGUUGGAGCCGCAUGACUCCGACGUCAAAGAUUUAUCGCUGGAAGAUGGCCUCGCGUCUGAUUAGCUAGUUGGUGAGGUAACGGCCCACCAAGGCGACGAUCAGUAGCCGGACUGAGAGGUUGGCCGGCCACAUUGGGACUGAGAUACGGCCCAGACUCCUACGGGAGGCAGCAG